rnacentral:lncRNA from 1 species
AUCCGUCUGGCAUCUGUUAUUCAUAAUGGAAUCCCAAGUGUUCUUCGUGGCCUUUACUCCUGCAAAAAUAAGUUGAGGACUUAAUUAGUUUCAAGCUUUAAGUUUUUGGUAAAACUGUUCAGAAUAGCUUGAACUGUGUGGUGUGCAUACAGCAGAAAAAGAAAUAAUGAAAAGGUUUUAUUCUAAGGGGGUUUUGUAAUUUUGAGUAGAAAACAAGGGACAAGAAAUAAAAAUUCACGUUCUUAUUUAAUCCCUACAUUUUAAGUCUUUAUUUGAAUGGGGAGGUUGGAUGUCUUAAUUUAUUUUACUUUUUUAUAAAACAUAAAAUACUCUGUGAAACACCUUAUCUACUCAUGUAGCAAAGCCCUGGUGAAGUUUAAAUUUUCCUUAUGGGCUCCCAUUCCAUUUCUUUAUGUGUAUUUAAAGAAUAAAGAACAGCUGAUCCCUGGGGUUACGUGUGAAACAUACUGUUCUAUAUGGGGAAAAAUUUGUUUUUCCAAACAGCCAAUAGCAGAAAUGAGAUGCCAGAUGAUUUAUUUCCAGCUAUAUGCCAGGGAGCCUGUCUCCAUUAAUUACUUCCUGCCAUGUCCCAUUGAAGUGGAAGGAUGGAGGAGCAUGAUUCAAGCAGCUUCAAUUACUGUGCACUGCUAAUUUAUGAGGAUUUCUGAGUUCUGCUUUCAUGUCGCCAACAUUUUGCAUAAAUUCUGCUUUUCUCUUAUGUCAUUUCCUCUUCCAGCUUCCAGUUUUAGCCCGGAUAGGUUGGCAGCCAUUGCUUUGGAUUUUGUGGGUGGCUCGAGGAGAAAGGAGUAAGCAAAAAUAAUUAUUCAUGCUCUGCUUUGCUGCAGUAACUUCUGAAAAGCAAGAAUGUUUCAGAGAGAAAAUUGGACGUGGGGUCCCAGCACAGCUCCCGUCCCUCGGGGAUUUGUGGGAGCAGCAGUUUGGAUCUGAUAAUGUGGAAUUAUCGCUGCUCCCUGUGUUUCAGCACGAGGUACAAGGGCAGUGUUGACUUCACUCUUCCAGGUGUGGUGGUUUUCCAUAUCUGAGGAACCUCUUGGAGUUAAUAAACAUUUGAAUUUGAUCUUACUUGCGGCA